rnacentral:rRNA from 1 species
UACAGAGGGUGCGAGCGUUGUUCGGAAUUAUUGGGCGUAAAGGGCGCGUAGGCGGCUCAUGAAGGCUGUGGUGAAAGUCCGGGGCUCAACCUCGGAUCGGCCGUGGCGACUCGUGGGCUGGAGCACUGUAGAGGCGGGUGGAAUUCCGGGUGUAGCGGUGGAAUGCGUAGAGAUCCGGAAGAACACCGGUGGCGAAGGCGGCCUGCUGGGACAGUGCUGACGCUGAGGCGCGACAGCGUGGGGAGCAAACAGG